CCUGAUGCAGCAACGCCGCGUGAGGGACGACGGCCUUCGGGUUGUAAACCUCUUUUAGCAGGGAAGAAGCGAAAGUGACGGUACCUGCAGAAAAAGCACCGGCUAACUACGUGCCAGCAGCCGCGGUAAUACGUAGGGUGCAAGCGUUGUCCGGAAUUAUUGGGCGUAAAGAGCUCGUAGGCGGUUUGUCGCGUCUGCUGUGAAAUCCCGAGGCUCAACCUCGGGUCUGCAGUGGGUACGGGCAGACUAGAGUGCGGUAGGGGAGAUUGGAAUUCCUGGUGUAGCGGUGGAAUGCGCAGAUAUCAGGAGGAACACCGAUGGCGAAGGCAGAUCUCUGGGCCGCUACUGACGCUGAGGAGCGAAAGGGUGGGGAGCAAACAGGCUUAGAUACCCUGGUAGUCCACCCCGUAAACGUUGGGCGCUAGAUGUGGGGACCAUUCCACGGUUUCCGUGUCGUAGCUAACGCAUUAAGCGCCCCGCCUGGGGAGUACGGCCGCAAGGCUAAAACUCAAAGGAAUUGACGGGGGCCCGCACAAGCGGCGGAGCAUGCGGAUUAAUUCGAUGCAACGCGAAGAACCUUACCAAGGCUUGACAUAUACGAGAACGGGCCAGAAAUGGUCAACUCUUUGGACACUC
rnacentral:rRNA from 1 species